rnacentral:tRNA from 1 species
UGGGGCAUAGCUUAUAGGGUAAAGCACUUACCUAGCACACAUGAGGCCCUGAGUUCAAAUCCCAGUACCACUG